CUUCCUGCUUUAGUACCGCCCAUCUGUUUUCCCUUUGGGUGUGCGGCUAUGCUAACAGGAUAGAGCAACUGUCUGUCAAAGUCUGAGGGGACAGAUGGCCACACACUCCCACUGCCCCUACAUGAAUUGACAGCACAAUUAAAA